GACGAACGCUGGCGGCGUGCUUAACACAUGCAAGUCGAACGGAAAGGCCCUUCGGGGUACUCGAGUGGCGAACGGGUGAGUAACACGUGGGUAAUCUGCCCUGCACUUCGGGAUAAGCCUGGGAAACUGGGUCUAAUACCGGAUAUGACCCCGAGGCGCAUGCCUUGGGGUGGAAAGCUUUUGCGGUGUGGGAUGGGCCCGCGGCCUAUCAGCUUGUUGGUGGGGUGAUGGCCUACCAAGGCGACGACGGGUAGCCGGCCUGAGAGGGUGUCCGGCCACACUGGGACUGAGAUACGGCCCAGACUCCUACGGGAGGCAGCAGUGGGGAAUAUUGCACAAUGGGCGCAAGCCUGAUGCAGCGACGCCGCGUGGGGGAUGACGGCCUUCGGGUUGUAAACCUCUUUCACCAUCGACGAAGGUCCGGGUUUCCUCG
rnacentral:rRNA from 1 species